rnacentral:rRNA from 1 species
UACGUAGGGGGCAAGCGUUAUCCGGAUUUAUUGGGCGUAAAGAGCUCGUAGGCGGCCGUUCGCGUCGGAUGUGAAAGCUCAGGGCUCAACUCUGAGAUGCCAUUCGAUACGGGACGGCUAGAGGUAGGUAGGGGAGAGUGGAAUUCCUGGUGUAGCGGUGAAAUGCGCAGAUAUCAGGAAGAACACCCGUGGCGAAGGCGGCUCUCUGGUACGUGACUGACGCUGAGACGCGAAAGCGUGGGGAGCGAACAGG